GGUUAUCUGUAUGGUUUCUAUACUUAUAAACAAUUAUUAUAUUUGUAUAUCUUUCUUCCCGUUUUUGUUCUACUGAAAAUUGUCACAGGUAUUUAUCUUAUUUACAUGAAAAGGUAUAUAUCCAUGUAAAUAAUACUACGAUCCAUUAAAAAAACGAUCGUAAGUAAUACUGAAAUGUUCAAAACUUCCGGAUAUUUUAUUUUUUUUUCGUAUACUUUUUUAUGAAAUGAGUCGCUUGGUGAUAAUUUAUAAUUUGGCUUGUAGAAGAGGUCUGAAACUCUUAUAACAUAAAAUAAACGAAUAAGGUUUCGUUAGUCUUAAUAAAGAAAAAAAAAAAACAUAUCAAUUAUUCCAUUCCACAAGAAAUCUACGACACAGUCCUUUCCCGAAUACCACGACAAAACAAAAAGGUGAAUUAACGGGAUAUAUGAUUUUUUUACAUCCAUGUAUGUGUAUACAGUUUUUUCAAUGAAAGCAUUUUUUUAAAUAAAAAUUUGAUUUCACCUAUAGGUUCUUGAAGAGGCCUUCAAUGAUUCAUUAGAUAAGUCUUUAGACUUCAUUGACAUUGAAACAGAAUUGUCACCCACAUAUGACAGUACGGACAACCGGGAAGAGGAAGAAAUUCCGGCAGAUAUACAAAAAACAUUCGAGACAACUGUUUCUAAUACCGAUGCCACAAACAUGACAACUCAAAAAUUUCAAACAGAUUCCAUUCCACAGAAAACAAGAAGAUUACAAACAUUAAAGCCCAAGAGAAAAUCUAAAGGUAUCCAGUGUGACCCUUCAGAUAUUGAUUCAAAAUAUCUAGUCGCCACACAAAACAAAUUGAUAACCGCAAAUACUACAAGCUGUAGCCAUACACAGGUACAGACCGAACAAAACUUGGAUGACAAUGAUGAGAUGGAUGAUAAUGAAGAUGAUGUAGAUGAAUAUGAUAAUGAUCCUGAUUAUAUUUAUAACGAGUCCGAGGAAGAAGAUGGGGACGAUGAAUAUGGUUCUGAUGAUGAAAAAGAAACAAGCAAUUACAGAUUGGAAGAAGGUAAAGAUCCAGUUGAUGAAAAGUACUACAUGGUCUCUGAAACAGCAUUAUUUCAGUUACUCUCAGUAUGCCGAGAGUGUAACCUUCGUUGCGUUCCAAUAAUUAAAUUCAGUAGAGGGACAAUGAUAUCUACAUCAUCCGUAUGUGCUUUGGGACACGUCUACAGGUGGAAAUCCAAAAACUGUCAUGAAAGACUACCAUCGGGAAACCUUUUACUUGCAAGUGCCAUAAUGUUUAGCGGAAAUAAUACAGCCAAAGGUGUAAGAUUAUUCAAUCAAAUGAAACUGAAAGGCAUUAGUGAACGCUCGGUUAGAAGACUGCAAACAGCAUACACAUCAUGUGCUGUUAUUUAUGAAUUUGACUCGCAUCAAGCAGAUCUGCUUACUUCCUUGCAAGGUCCAGAUAAACAAAUAAUACUUGGUGGCGACGGAAGGUGUGACAGUCCUGGUUAUAGUGCUAAAUAUGGCAGUUAUACCCUGAUGGACUUGAACACAAAUAAAAUAUUGGACAUUCAGCUUGUUCAGUCCAAUGAAGUUAAGGGGUCAACCCAUAUGGAAUUUGAAGGACUAAAGAGGGGUUUGUCCCUUCUUAUGGACACUAAUCAUAUUGAAGUCUCGACGCUUGUCACAAAUAGACACGUUAUGAUAAAGUAGUUUAUGAAGGACAACAAUCCAGAAAUAUAUCAUUAAUUCGAUGUAUGGCAUAUAGCAAAAGGAAUAUAAAAAAAGUUGAAAACAGAGCCAAGAAGAAAGAUAAAUGAGACAUAAGACCAUGGAUAAAGAGCAUUGUUAACCAUACAUAUUGGGUAGCUGCAUCAAGUGCGGAAGAUCAAAAUGUGAAAAUACACACAAAUGGACAUCAAUGUCCAACAUCAUCAUCAAUAACAUGUCCAUGAAUCUGAUGUACUUCCGCAAUGUAUCCAUGGAGAGCUUGAGGAACAAUGAGCUUGGCUUAAACAAGGUUCCAGAUCUCAUAAACUUGUUCUGGAAUUAAUCGAAAGCAAAUAUUUGCUUAACGAUUUAAAAAGCUGUCACCAGUGCACCAGACAUAUGACAUCGAGGUGUUUAACUCACUUGUGAACCAGUAUGCACCAAAGAACACCCACUUAUUCCAGUAUUCAAUGAAAGCAAGGAUUUACAUUGCUGCAUUGCAUUACAAUGAAAAUGGAAAAAGACAGCAAGCUGUCACAAAAGCAGGAAUCUUGAAAUGGAAAAUGUCGUACCCUAAAGCAAAAAAAGGAGAGCAAUGUGUUGUCAAACCGCAGAAAGUUCAAGCAACCUAUGAUUAUGUUGGAGCUCUUCUGAAAAGAACUUUUGACAGACGAAAUAACUUGUCAAGCAUUAAAGAAGCUCUAGAGGACUUUAACGUUGUAUACCAGAGACUUCCUCCACUAACAGCAUCAAAUGCUAAUUUUGAUAAGGAGGAGUUUAUAAGACAUAGAACAAGUUGUUUUUGCUAGAAACUGACAUCAUUUCGCAACUUUGCAUACUUGUACAUUUGUUUUAAUAUAUUAUGUGAUCAUUGUUCAAUAUAACUCUUCACCAUUAUCCUUGUAUUUACCACAAUUUACACCAUGUAAUCAAGUGUUUUUAUCUUUCAAUGCUGUGUUGUGGAAACGUAAAAUAUACACAGAUUUUAACCACAAGUAUGGGCGGGUAAUUGAGAGCUUCAUGAAAUAAAUUUAUUUAAAUUAUCAUGGCCUGGCAUAUUUGAAACCAGUAAAGUACUCAGACGGGAAUGCCUCCCGAAUUUUUCUUUCUGCACAUGCUGGUGUCACUUUUUUCUUUUUUUCCCAAGAAUAAGCCAGAUCCGGCGAGUGAAUCGUCAGUACGCUUUAUAGCUAUAUAAUCUGAAAAAAAAAAUUAACAUAUUUAACAGAUUAUUCGAAUUCUUUAUACAAAGUGAUACUCCAAACUUGAACAAGGAUAUUAUUAUAACUGAUUGUCAGCAUUGAUUAAGAUGAUUUCACAUUUUCAUGAUGAUAUAUUUGUUUAUCCAGAUUUAAUUAUUUUGACUGUUUUGAAUUUCAUCAUCAGCUUGGUCUUGAAAUUUUUUUUAUCAUGUUUUUGAUUGAAAUUGUAAUUAAAAAAAAAUAGUUGUGAAGUAAAAUU